GGCGCUAUCGUCUAAUGGUUAGGACAAGUGGUUUUCAUCCACUAAAUCGGAGUUCGAUUCUCCGUAGCGCUACCA
rnacentral:tRNA from 1 species